rnacentral:rRNA from 1 species
UCAGGAUGGACGCUAGCGGCAGGCCUAAUACAUGCAAGUCGUACGGGAGUGGCCCUUCGGGGCCAUGAGAGUGGCGGGCGGGUGCGUAACGCGUAUGCAACCCACCCCUGUCAGCCGGAUAGCCUCGGGAAACUGGGGGUAACACGGCAUGUUCCGCGGGAAGGGCAUCCUUUCCGCGGCAAAGCGGCGACGCGGACGGGGACGGGCAUGCGUGCCAUUAGCUUGUUGGCGGGCGACGGCCCACCAAGGCUACGAUGGCUAGGGGAUCUGAGAGGACGGUCCCCCCACACUGGUACUGAGACACGGACCAGACUCCUGCGGGAGGCAGCAGUAAGGGAUAUUGGGCAAUGGGGGGAACCCUGACCCAGCCAUGCCGCGUGAAGGGAAUGAGGCCCCAGUGGUCGUGAACCUCUUUUGCGCGGGGACAAGGACGCGGUCGCGAACCGUGUUUGAGGGUACCGCGCGAAUAAGCAUCGGCUAACUCCGUGCCAGCCGCAGC